rnacentral:lncRNA from 1 species
GCAGCCCGGCAGCCACUACACACGGACCCGUGACGUCGGGCGUAGCGCGGCGCACGUCACGGCCGCUCGCUCGUGCGCGCGCACCCCUCCGCCCGGCGGUAGCGGAACCCGCCGCGGGCGCGCGCCCGGCCCAGGGGAGUGGGUCGGCGCCUGCGCAGAGGCCCGCCACGCCCACACACAGGCCACCGCCCCCACCGGCCGGACGGCGCGGGGAUUCCCAGUCCUGGCUCCGCCCCGGCCUCGGCCCCGCCCCCGCCCCUGCCCCGGGGCAGCCUGUGCUGUUCCGUGUGCGCGGCGCAUACGCACCUGGGUUGUCUCGAGCCUGCGGUAGUGGCCAGAUCCCAGACAUCCGAGUAGAUCCCGUGAAAAGCUUCUUCUUGGUUUCUUCGUACAUUCUGGAUCCACCCCUUUCAUGCAUAUUCCAGACCACAUUUCCACUGGAGCAGUUGAAAUGAGAGAGAUGGGAAUGGGACUCACCCGAACCAGAGGAAUUUUUAUUACAGACCCAUUAACAGAGGUGUCAAAGUCACAGGAACAAGGAUGUGCACCUCAGAAACACAGAGGCUAGCCUGGCUGAAGCUCAGCUGCACAGAGUCUGUCCUGAGAAGCAGAAUGCCACUGUCCCCUGGGCCCUCCAGACUGCCAAGGCUGCUCAGUUUCAGAGAGCAGGCUCCCUGUGGCCUCACACGCCGGCUGCCAGCUGGGCCAGGUAACUCUGGCCAGGCUGCACUGUGAAGAACACGAGAGUCGGCGGAGACCUGUGCCUGCUCUUCUCAGCCUCAAUGUCUGGAAGACAAAAAAAGGCAUCCUGCUCCCAAGAUUGUGGUGGAGGCCAGCAGGGUGACGCACAUGAAAGCCACUGGAGAUAGAUGGCACUUGUUCCCACCCACUGCCCACAACAGGCCCAGGACUGCCUCAGCCCCGGUGGACCCCAGAGCCAGCAGGCCCUUCAGAAUGGAAGGUGCCAAACACCAUCGGAAGGCGUGGUUCUUUUCAGAGAACCAGACUCUGAGACUGUGGCCUCCCACUAUGAGUCACCACCUCUGAUUCCUGAGGUCCCCUCCAGUCAUUGGCUCUCUCCCAAGCCAGCCAGCUGAUCAGCCUUGAGGACAGCAGAGUGUCUGCCAAGAGAGAUCUGUGAAGUUUCCCAUCACCGUGGCAGUCCACAAUGUGAAGCCCCUGAGGCCACCCUUCUCCAUGUGUCCCCCACACUGUCCCUGACCCUCCCACCAUCCUAGAAAACCAGCCUCCCAGGUCCUCUGUCAUGGAAGUAAUUUACAGCAAGGCAGAAAGAGCUGAAAGAUUUAUAAAUGUGUAAAAUUUACAAAGGUGUUUCUUUCUUUCUUUCUUUCUUUUUUUUUUUUUUUUUUUUUGAGGCAGAGUCUCACUCUGUUGCCCAGGCUGGAGUGCAGUGGCACAAUUUUGGCUCACUGCAACCUCCGCCUCCCGGGUUCAAGUGAUUCUCCUGCCUCAGCCUCCCAAGUAGCUGGGAUUACAGGUGCAUGCCACCACGCCUAGCUAAUUUUUGUAUUUUUAGUAGAGACAGAGUUUUUUGCCAUGUUGGCCAGGCUGGUCUUGAACUCCUGACCUCAGGUGAUCUGCCUGCCUCAGCCUCCCAAAGUGCUGGGAUUACAGGCGUGAGUCACCGUGCCCGGCCUACAGAGGUGUUUCUGAGUGGAGAAACCACUGCCUGGUUGGACUGACUGCCCAGUUCCACCACCCUGUGAGCCCAUGAGUGAGCUCACUGCACUUGUUAUAGACAUCCUACCACCAGCAGCCUGAUUUUGCUGAGUCCGUAGCUUACAACUCCAAUCUCAUGGCCCUGCCUUUCACCUCACUUGCUGCCUUAAAAACCUGCAGACUGAGGUGGCGUAGAAGCUGUGACAUCCCAGUACCCAGAAGUUCAUCUCACACCCAGAUCUUGGUUUCUAAAUGUCAUUCUCUACUAAAAGGGACCAGGGCUGGUACAGGAGAAGAGCAAGAGCUUGGAAUAUCUUAUACCUGAGAGUAAGGAAGUGCUCAGAGAAUCACAGGAGCACGUUAAAAGGACAUAGAAGUCAGUUUAAUGAGACUGCUUCUGGCCAAAGUUGGAACACAUCAAACAUUAAAACAAUGAUGGUAAUGGAUUAGAUUCCAUAGAAUAAAAUCCUUGAGGACAUAGUUAUAUAAACAUAACUGAGGAAGAAGGAAAAGCUCUCCCUAACAGAAUAAUACAACUAGUAAAUGGGAAAGGAAAGGAGUUAGGAAUUCACGCUGGGUAUUGAAACUAGUGGGUGAAAGCUCAAUGAAUCGGAUUCUUAGUCUCAAUGUCUCUCCUCUCAAUUUAGUAAUUAUAGUGGAGUAAUCAUGACUUUACAGUGGAGAAACCUGGCCAACACUACCUUCACAACACUAACAAAAACCUUGCAGACCUGCAGCCUAAGCUCCCAGAAGUCACCUGCUGAAAUGCCUUCAAAGAGUGACCUCUCUGCGUGUAGUGCUCAGCAACUUGGGCUCAGUGUCUAUUUCCACAAGCUACAAACCAGAAUACAGUGGAAUUCAGCCCAUAUGUGGUAAUUUAUCUACCAAUCAAGGACCUUUGACUCCAAAAAUUACCUUUUUUGUACAAGUGACUACCUGGUGUAGAGCUCAGACAUGGCUUUGAAUUUUUGCCAUGCUGUGUGAGCUCAGGCAAGCUGCUUCACCUCUUUGAGCUUCAAUCUUUUAUCUAUAAAAUGGGAAUAACAAUAACUUAAUGAAACAGCAAUUCCAGUGUUAGGUAUUUCCUCAGGAGAAAUGAAAACACGUUCACACAAAUAAUUGUACAUGUAUGUUUCUACACGCUUUAUUCAUAAUAGUCAUAAACAACCUAAAUAUUCAUCAACUGGUUAGCAGAGAAAAGAGCAAACCACUGAUGACAUGAACGAAUUUCAGAAGCACUGUGCUCAGUGAAAGAAGCCAGACAAAAAUUACAUCUUACAUAAAUUUCAUUUAUAUGAAAUUCUAGUGAAGGCAAAACAUAUAGCCAGGGGCCAAGAGGGGAGGAUGGUCUGCAAAGAGGCAGGAACUUCUUCCUGGGGUGAUGGGAAUAUUCUGUGUCAUGAACAUCGUGAUUGUGGUUACAAGACUAUACUUUUGUCAAAACUCAUCAAAUUGUACACCUAAAAUGGAUGCAUUAAGCCUCAAUACAGCCAAUAAAAGAUACCUACGUUACAGUAUCUUCUGAGGAGUAAUGGGGUGAUAUAUAUGCAGCCCCAAGUUCAGUGCCUGUGGUGAGAGGAGUCCUAAAAUAGUACCUGUGACCACGCCCCACGGUCUUAGACCUGGGCAGGGCAACUGUGCAGACAGCAGGCCCAGCCAGGAAGCAAGCUGGCAAGGCGUUCUGCAGCGAAGAAAGACCUUAAAUGCUCUGGGGGAUACGGACUGAAGAGGUGUUGAGAGGUAACUGCAUACCUCUCACUUCUCAGGAACUGCCAGUUCCCUGGGCAGAAUCAGGACCUGGGACAGACCUGCCUGCUGAUGAGAUGGCCCCACACCAUCUGCAGGCCAGAUUUGGUGCUGUGGACAAUGUCGGAGGGGACAGUCUACAGGACAGCCAACGGCUUUCAAAAAUUCUGAUAUGAUCAACUGGUGACACUACUCAGAAGACUGUGUUAAGAAUUCCGAAUUGGGGCCGGGCAAGGUGGCUCAUGCCUGUAAUCCCAGCACUUUGGGAGGCCAAAGCAGGUGGAUUGCUUGAGCCUAGG